AAAGAAAGCGUAAUAGCUCACUGGUCGAGUCGGCCUGCGCGGAAGAUGUAACGGGGCUAAACCAUGCACCGAAGCUGCGGCAGCGACGCUUAUGCGUUGUUGGGUAGGGGAGCGUUCUGUAAGCCUGUGAAGGUGUGUCGUGAGGCAUGCUGGAGGUAUCAGAAGUGCGAAUGCUGACAUAAGUAACGAUAAAGCGGGUGAAAAGCCCGCUCGCCGGAAGAC
rnacentral:rRNA from 1 species